UUCAGUGCAAAAAAAAUUCAGAUACUUAAUUUCAGCGCCAAAAAAAAAUUUCAGUGCUACAAAUUCAAUGUCUUUUAUAAUUCAAAAUCUGAUGACAGUUUUACUUCCAUAAAGAGCAUGAUAUAAAUGAAAACAUAGAAGAUGAAAUUUUAAACACACAAAACUAAAAGUGAAUCUGCACAGGUGAAGCUUUUUUUAAACUGUACCAACAGUAUCAACAGACCCCCAAAGGUGUCCACAGACCUCCAAAGGUGUCCACAGACCCCCAAAGGUGUCCACAGACCUCCAAAGGUGUCCACAGACCCCCAAAGGUGUCCACAGACCCCCAAAGGUGUCCACAGACCCCCAAAGAGUCCACAGACCCCCAAAGGUGUCCACAGACCCCCAAAGAGUCCACAGACCCCCAAAGGUGUCCACAGACCCCCAAAGGUGUCCACAGACCCCCAAAGGUGUCCACAGACCUCCAAAGGUGUCCACAGACCCCCAAAGGUGUCCACAGACCCCCAAAGGUGUCCACAGACCUCCAAAGGUGUCCACAGACCUCCAAAGGUGUCCACAGACCCCCAAAGGUGUCCACAGACCCCCAAAGGUGUCCACAGACCCCCAAAGGUGUCCACAGACCUCCAAAGGUGUCCACAGACCCCCAAAGGUGUCCACAGACCCCCAAAGGUGUCCACAGACCUCCAAAGGUGUCCACAGACCUUCUUAAAGGGUUCAAAUGAAGACUGAAGGGUUCAAGGUCAUCAGAGUCAGGAUGUGGACCCCAAACCCGACCAGUAGAGGGCAGAGUUUGUUCAGUCAUUCACUGAGUCCACAUGAAUCUGCACAUCAUCAUCUGGUCCACGGUGGUCCACAUGGCGACAGUUCUCAGGAAGUUCAGACCAUGUUAGUCCAGGACUGGUUUGGACACGAUAGUUUUAGUCUAAAUCUGAUCCGCACCCAGCGGAUUUAGUCUAAACCUGACCCAGAAAUGGUGGUUUUAUUCAAAAACCCGACCCAGACCUAGGUGGUUUUACUCUAAACCUGGCUCAGACCCGGUGGUUUUAGUCUAAACAGAACCCAGACCUGGUGGUUUUAGAUGUGGGCUAGAGUUGUGGACUCGGUCUUGGUGAUCCUCCAUGGUGGUCUUGGUGUGAGUGUAAACCCGGUCCUGAUCCCAGUCCUCAUGAGUCCACUACAGAUCCUGAUGAUGAAA